UGUUCCAUAAGGCAUCUUUGAAUUAUCAUAAGACAAUAUCAUACAUUUCUCUUAUGUUUAUGAGAAUCAUAAGAUGCUCGUAUGAAACUCGAACGACUGACAUAUGCAAUAAAUUGUAAAAUGUAAAGGUAAUCAUACAAGUCGUAUGUUUUCCAUAUUAAUCUUAUGAAAUCAUAGUUUUGUUACUUUUCUAGUCAUCAUAAGAUGAAUCUUAUGAAUUUCGCUAUGCAUUUUGCCUUAGCGUAGGAUAAAGCAAUUAGCGCUGGAUCUAAAACAUGAGUCGAUGAUGAUCGAGUUGCACUUUUUGUUGCCAACGAACGGAAAACAAAUAAAUAAUUGAAGAAAUUUUUCUCCUCAAAAUAUUUGAUUAUUUCUGCUGCCUCUGCACUCCUUGCUGUCGUUCGAUUCCGUUCACGUGGCUUCGACGUGCUGCCUCGUGGAUCGGCAACUCGUUGGUAGCGAGCCGCGUGGCUUGUUUCGAUAUUCCACCUGUUGCUAUGGGCCUUGGUUGCCUCUAGAUGACCUCGCAUCUGCGUGGUGACUUCAGGAAACUAUUCAGUCAUGUCAAACUGAGGCUUCCAAUAGUCAACACCGGUGAAACAACGUCAUCUCGGUUAUUGACUUCAGAUACAUCGAGCAAUACGGAACAUUUGAACAAGACUGUAGCUUACCCGAGCUCCGAGCCACUACAAUUCCAUUUGACUUUAGUCAUACCGGCUGGAAUAUAAUAUAGAAUUCUGGCUGUCUAAGAGACAAGUAUUUUAA